rnacentral:tRNA from 1 species
ACGGACAUAAUGUAAUGGCUAGCAUGAUAGUCUCCAAAACUUUCAGUCUUCGUUCGAGUCGAAGUGUCCGUG